CCUUUCCAGGCUGGGAGUAAACAUAGGCCGCCUUUCCAGAUCAGGUGAGCAUUGCCACCUGGCAGGGAGGAGGCACGGAUUCGUUGCAGGAGAAAGAACUUGAGCUUGGGGCAGGAGGAAAAAUGAGAACUUGAGUUCAAGGGCUGCCACUGCCGCCAUGAAAUGAAGUAUCUGACUGGGACUUUUUGUUUUUACAUCAGGGAAAGCUGCUUUAAGGCAAUCCUGUUUCCUAUGUCUUUCAUGUUCCACUGUCCUGUGAUCUGGGGACAGAGUAGGGGAACAAGAUUGAGCUGAUCUCUGACUUUCUGGAGCUACACUGGAGUUGGGGAGAUGGACGGAUGGUACACCAUGGACCGAGCAGAGAGAAAGAUGGCUCCGAAGGAAACCAAAAAGGGUGGGAAGAUCAGGACUGGCCUAUUUUGGAUCCGGAGGUAAUGGGACGUCUUCCUGAGGAGAGGAUGCUUUAAAACGAGUCAGGAAUGAAGAGAAGGGGCCUGCAGGCCCUCAGUGGAUUGGAUGAUGCCUACUGGUGAGGGUGACCUUCUUUACUCAUCUACUGGUUGAAACGCUAGUCUCUUCCAGAAACAUCCUCACAGACACAUCCAGAAGUAAUGUUUUACCAGGCUUCUGUAGAUGUUAACUUAGACUUGCAGCAGGAGACUGGUUUUGUGUGAGUUUGCCUGGGGAAGAAAAUGGAGGUUCCACUAUCUUCUGGGAGUUUUCCGUGGGCACUGACAGCCUGCUCGUGUGCCCAGGGCCGAAAUCUGUUAUUCCAUCUCAAUCCUAGAACCCACGAUCACAGCUCAUCCUGGGUUUAAAGGAGGGCCUAUGAGAUGAGAAGCUUUUUGGACAUAUGACCAACAUUCAGAUAAAACACCUGCUCCCACCGAGAACCUUCAAAGCCAAUUUCAUCUGCUUUUGGCCCCUUCAGAGUAGCUGCAAUUGAAGGAUAAAUGCUCCAUGCCAGUUGGUGUUUGUUCAGAGGACACUGGAAGAAGAGGGACAAAGGUGGCCUGGAUGUUGAUCCGCGAGCCUAAGUCUAUGGUUCUCUGAAGCAAAGGUGCCAGUGAAGUUGCUUCAUAAAAAAAAAAAAAAAAAACAAACCUUCCAGAAUCUUCCAUUGGAGAAUUGUCACCUGUAAAGACCUCUGAGAGGUGUCACGGACCAGAACAUCACCCUUAAAAUAAAAGUGCAUCUGUGCCGGGAAGCCAGAGGAGAUCAGCGUUUCUUUAUUUGGAUCAGUGUUGAGAGCGAAAGAGCAGACUUGAACAUGGGCGGCGGAAGCGAUCUACCCCCCAACUGUUUUGAGGGACCCCUCGGAAUCUGCCGUGAUGUGGUCCCCCCCCCCCGUGUCAUUUUUACCACCCUUCCUCCUACAGACACAGUUGCCUGGCUUUCUGCAGCCCUGAGACUGUCAAAUAUGACCUGAGAGCAAGGUUCCGGUCCUGGCGGCUCCUUCAGAAGAUGUGUGACCUUUCUGGGUUUCGAUUUCAUCACCUGCAGGAAGAGGGGGUCUGACUAGGAGAACUCUAACAUCCCUUGGGGAUAUAACAGCUGAAGAGCUAUUUUCUCCGGUACCAACGCCCAAUGAAGCCAAGGGAAGGGAGCCCAUGCUGCCUUUCUUUGGAGUCCUUGGUCUGGGCUCUCAUGCAUGGACAUGGCCAUCAGGUGGCCUGGAAUCACAUUUACAAUGGAGACUCUGGUUCAGUAAGUCCGAGGCGGGGGCUGAGACAUUUGCUUUUCUGACAGCUGUCAGAUGAGGUAGCAACUUGGGACAGUAAGGCCUCGGGCAGUAGGCUAAGUGGAGCGCCGGGGUUGGUGUGGUUUCUUCAGCGCUGGGUGUCCACACAGCCCGAGUGCGUUGUUGUUCGGUGUUUGAACAAAUUCAUGCCGGGAUGGGGGGGGGGGAGCAUUGGAGAGCAGGGUAAGCCAUGGUCUCAUCGUCACCAUCUCCCAUAUUACUUCAUUUUUGUCUUCUUUUUUCUUUUUAAAGAUUUUUUGUUGUUGUUGUUUUUAAGCAGUCUCUACAUCCAGCGCGGGGGUCGAACUCACAACCCUGAGAUCAAGAGUCGCACGCUCUACACUGAGCCAGCCAGGAAGCAGGAGGGAGGCAGAGACUUAGGGCAGGCACGGGGUGGGAAGAAGCAGGUAUCUCUGCUUCACGUCUGGCUCCUGAUUCAUCAUUUGGAGACCAUAGCUCUCCAGCACAUACUCUUUCAUGCUUUCUUUCCUCCCCCUGUUGGUUCCUCUUUCAUGUCCAUUUCAACCACAGCCAAUUAUUUAGAGGGAGUGCAGGGUUCUGCACAGCGUGACUGUGGCUCAAAACACCACCGUUUUGUGGAGGGAGCGCUGGGCUGGGAGGCAAAAUAUAUGGGUGAUAUUCUGGCUGGCCCACUGACCAGGGCAGUGAAUGACGAUCCAUCAAAUGCUCUGAGCUCUGAAGUAGGAAGGACCCUUCCAGCCUAACUGUUCACAGGACAUAAUGUUUGUCAUUAUGUCAUACUCCACAUGUAGGUUAAUGUGAGUUUGAGUUUUUACUCUGCUGUCCCAGGGAUAGUCCUCUCUGGGGGCCAGAGAUCCUGCCCCAGGCUUCUCUUGCCACCCUGGGCUCUCUUGGGUAUGAACUUAGAGAGAAGCAAGUUCUCGCCCGCUUCCCUCUCUGUCUCCCUCCCUGCCUCCCUCCCUCUUUUUCUGCUCUUUUUUUUUUUUAUUAAGUUUAUUGAUUUAUUUUGAGAGAGAGAGAGGUCAUGAGCGGGGGAGGGACAGAGAGAAAGAAGAAAGAGAAUCCCAAGCGGGCUGUGCACUGUCAGUGCAGAGCCUGAUGCGGGGCUCGAUCUCACGGACCGUGAGAUCAUGACCUGAGCCGAAGUCGGAUACGUAACUGACUGAGCCACCCAGGCGCCCUGGAAAUGUUCGCUUUUUGCAUGUAAUCUAUUCUGAGCACACAAAUUCCCCGAACUUUACUGAUAAGAAUCAACUUGGGCUCUUGAGAAGCUCCACCAUUUCCAGGCAGUUUCCCUGAGUCAGCAGGUCCCGGAGGGGGCAGGGGGCAGUGAGAAUCAAUCCUCCCGUCCUGUUCUCCUUUUCUCUGUCUUUUCAAAGACUUCCAAUUGGUUCUUAUUUUCAGAGAGGUUUAGGAAAGAGUGUUUGGUGCAAGGUUCCUGGUGUGGCUGCAUUUUGGGUCACCUGGGAAAAGUCCUGAUGUCUGGGUGACACUCCAGAUCAGAAAGGCUGGGGAUAGGACCCUGCAUCAGUAAUGUUUAAUAUCCCCCCAGGGCAUUCCCAGGUGAAGUCUGGGUUCAGAAGCUCUGGCUCCAUUUCUGACUGACUCACACAGCCCAAGGAAGAAGUCGGGGGAGCCCACCACCUCGUUUGUAGGCCAGUGAUUCCCUAACGUGACCACACAUUAGAACCGUGCAGGCACCUUUUGAAACUCCUGAUGCCUAGGUCACACUUUAUACCAAUCAAGUCAGAAUGUCUGGGGGUGGGAGCCCGGCAUCAGGAUGUUUUAAAGAUCCCGGGUGAUCCCCCUGUGCAGCAGAGCCCAGAUUCUAUGUGGAUGCAAGUUUCGGUGAUGAACCAUGUGGCCCAGGCCUUCAGCUUUGCUGCUACUGAGGAUAGGCUGCCUUUCCCCCUUGGUCUUGAAGCACCCCCAAAUCUGCUGGGGAGUUCUGUCCCAUCUUCACAGGGACUUCCUAGCAGCGGACCCCGUUAGCACCAAGCAGGAGGAGCCUCUGCCUAAGCGUGUAGCAUUUCUUCCUCUCCUGUAGACAACCACCUGCUGACCUAGGAGAGGGACUUUUCUUAGUAUACAGUGUGCUGCUGAAUUAGGGUGAAAUUCACAUGACGUGGUAAGUUUUCAUGGGCACAGCCACUCUAGUUGAUUUACCUACUAUCUAUGCGUGCUUUGGCAUUCUAACGCCGUGAGUCGUCAUGACAGAACCAAAAGCCUGCAAGGACUAAAACACUCACGAUAUUUUGGGGAAUCUUUGUCAUAACCCCGUGUAUGGAAAUUCUGAAGUUUCAACAUAGUUUAUUAUUUUUUUUUCAUGACAUAACUUAUAAGCUCAGCUAGAUGAACGCAUAGGAUGGAAAAGCUAUGAAAAUUUGGAAACAGAAGAGUAGGGAGGGGACACUUGCCCUUCCCCUAGUGAGGGAGAUAGUACAUAUGUCAUGGAGCUGUAUUAACUAAAGGGUGUGGUGCUGGUGCAGAUAUAAGCAGGUCAAUGGAAAAGACCAGAAGUUGAGAUUGAGGUGGCGUUUCAGGCCGCUCAGGAGGAGAGAGAUUCGUCUGUAGAAGGCGUUAGACACAUUUCAUUGAGACUGGCCGUGUAGAAAUCAGGAAGCUGGGGGGCGCCUGGGUGGCUCAGUCGGUUGAGCGUCCGACUUCGGCUCAGGUCAUGAUCUCACCGCUUGUGAGUUCGAGACCCGCGUCGGGUUCUGUGCUGACAGCUCAGAGCCUGGAGCCUGCUUCGGAUUCUGUGUCUCCCUCUCUCUCAGCCUCACCCCCACUCGUACUCGGUGUCUCUCUCUCUCUCUCUCAAAAAUAAACAUUAAAAAAAGAAAUCAUGAAGCUGGAUCUCCUUUGAAAUACAUUCCAGAGGAAUAAAAUAUUUAAAUGUAUAGAAAAAAUAAAAAAGUAUCAGAAAAAAAACACAUUGGUGACUACCUUAGUAAGUGUGUAGUAGAAAACUUCUUCUAAGCUUAACAGAAAAGAGGCAAUAGAAAGCAAAAAACUGAUUAACUUGGCUAAAAUGUAAAAUUUUUAUACUAGAAAAGUAAUGCAAGAAAAGCUUUAAAGAUAGAGCGGAAUUAACCUCAGAAAAGUACUUUUUGUUAUAGACAAAUGGUUAAUAUCUCUAAGCGUAAAAAAAUGGAUGAGAAGCUGAAAAGGACAAAAUAAAUAAGGGGGAAAUAAAUAUACAAACUGGUAAUAAUGCAGUGAAUGCAAAUGGCCAGUGAGCAUGAUACUGUUCACCUUUGCAAAUGAUUAAUGUCAAUGCAACGUUAGCUUGAAUAAGAUAUCUUUUUUGUUGUUGUUUCUUUCGUUGACGAAGUUGAAAAAAAAAUCAAGAUUCCACUGUGAUGGUAAGGGUGUGGGGAAAAAGGCUUUGCAAUACAUUCUUGGGUUCAGUAUUUUUGGAGGGAAGCUGAUGGUACAGAUCACAUUUAUAGAUGCAAAUACCUUUUGUAAAUACUGUCCUCAACCUGACAUCUUGGGCAUUUGGUUUAUAGAAAACCAACAUAAAGAUGUUCCUUGUGGACCCCAUGAGUAAAAAUUAGCGCCGUAAACAACAGAAAUAGAAAAAAAAAAAAGAUGGUCCCCGCUGCAGUGAAGAGCUGGAAACCGUCUCAGUUCUCAUCAGCAGGUUUUAAUUUUAUUUAUUUUAUUAAAAAAUUUUUAAAGAUUUUUAUAUUAAUUCCACUCAGUUAACAUAUCGUGUAAUAUUAGCUUCAGGUGCAUAAUAUAGUGAUUCAACACUUCCAUACAUCACCCUGUGCUUAUCAAGUAGGUUUUUUUAGCCCAUUUUAUGGAAGUUGACACGUAAAAUCUGUGCAUAUUUAAUGUAUACAACUUGGUGAGUUUGAGGAUAAAUGUAGACCCAUGAGACCAUCACUGACAGGAUCAUAGCCACAGCCACCACCUCCCAAAGUUUCUUCCUGCAUUAUUACCACUACUAUUUUAUUUUUUUGUGGUAAGAUCACUUAGCACGAUAUCUACCCUCUUAGCAAGUUUUCAGUGUAUAAUAGCCAAAUUCUGGAAAGAGCCUACGUGUCCAUCAACUGAUGAGUGGAUAAAGAAAUUGUGGUUUAUAUAUACAAUGGAAUACUACUUGGCAAUGACAAAGAAUGAAAUCCCGCCGUUUGCAGCAACGUGGAUGGAACUGGAGGGUAUUAUGCUAAGUGAAACGAGUCAGGCAGAGAAAGACAGAUACCAUAUGUUUUCACUCAUGUGGAUCUUGAGGAGCUUAACAGAAGACCAUGGGGGAAGGGAAGGGGUAAAAAAAAGUUACAAACAGAGAGGGAGGGAGGCAAACCAUAAGAGACUCUUAAAUACAGAGAGCAAACUGAGGGUUGAUGGGGGUGGGAGGGAGGGGAGGGUAGGUGAUGGGCAUUGAGGAGGGCACCUGUUGGGAUGAGCACUGGGUGUUGUAUGGAAACCAAUUUGACAACAAAUUAUGUAUAAAAAAAAGAAUUGUUAGCUAUAGGGACUGUGUUAUACAGUAGAUCUCCAGAAUUUAUGUAUCUUGCGGAACUGAAACUUUGCAUGCUUAACCGUCAUCUCCCCAUUCCCUGCCCCCCCCGUACCCCUCCCCCAGUAGGACUUGAUACAAUAAGUUGUGAUGUAUCCAUAUGAUGGUUUUCCAAGGAGCCAUUGCAAGAGAGGUGGAGUUUUCAACAUUGAUAUAGAUUCU